rnacentral:rRNA from 3 species
GUAGGUGUGUGUUCCAGGUAAAUCCGGUUCACUUUAACACUGAGGCGUGACGACGAGGCACUACGGUGCUGAAGCAACAAAUGCCCUGCUUCCAGGAAAAGCCUCUAAGCAUCAGGUAACAUCAAAUCGUACCCCAAACCGACACAGGUGGUCAGGUAGAGAAUACCAAGGCGCUUGAGAGAACUCGGGUGAAGGAACUAGGCAAAAUGGUGCCGUAACUUCGGGAGAAGGCACGCUGACACGUAGGUGAAGUGAUUUACUCAUGGAGCUGAAGUCAGUCGAAGAUACCAGCUGGCUGCAACUGUUUAUUAAAAACACAGCACUGUGCAAACACGAAAGUGGACGUAUACGGUGUGACGCCUGCCCGGUGCCGGAAGGUUAAUUGAUGGGGUCAGCGCAAGCGAAGCUCCUGAUCGAAGCCCCGGUAAACGGCGGCCGUAACUAUAACGGUCCUAAGGUAGCGAAAUUCCUUGUCGGGUAAGUUCCGACCUGCACGAAUGGCGUAAUGAUGGCCAGGCUGUCUCCACCCGAGACUCAGUGAAAUUGAACUCGCUGUGAAGAUGCAGUGUACCCGCGGCAAGACGGAAAGACCCCGUGAACCUUUACUAUAGCUUGACACUGAACAUUGAGCCUUGAUGUGUAGGAUAGGUGGGAGGCUUUGAAGUGUGGACGCCAGUCUGCAUGGAGCCGACCUUGAAAUACCACCCUUUAAUGUUUGAUGUUCUAACGUGGACCCGUUACCCGGGUUGCGGACAGUGUCUGGUGGGUAGUUUGACUGGGGCGGUCUCCUCCUAAAGAGUAACGGAGGAGCACGAAGGUUGGCUAAUCCUGGUCGGACAUCAGGAGGUUAGUGCAAUGGCAUAAGCCAGCUUGACUGCGAGCGUGACGGCGCGAGCAGGUGCGAAAGCAGGUCAUAGUGAUCCGGUGGUUCUGAAUGGAAGGGCCAUCGCUCAACGGAUAAAAGGUACUCCGGGGAUAACAGGCUGAUACCGCCCAAGAGUUCAUAUCGACGGCGGUGUUUGGCACCUCGAUGUCGGCUCAUCACAUCCUGGGGCUGAAGUAGGUCCCAAGGGUAUGGCUGUUCGCCAUUUAAAGUGGUACGCGAGCUGGGUUUAGAACGUCGUGAGACAGUUCGGUCCCUAUCUGCCGUGGGCGCUGGAGAACUGAGGGGGGCUGCUCCUAGUACGAGAGGACCGGAGUGGACGCAUCACUGGUGUUCGGGUUGUCAUGCCAAUGGCACUGCCCGGUAGCUAAAUGCGGAAGAGAUAAGUGCUGAAAGCAUCUAAGCACGAAACUUGCCCCGA